GGCAGAGGGGGCAAGCGUUGCUCGGAAUUACUGGGCGUAAAGGGCGCGUAGGCGGGAUGGCAAGUCGGUCGUGAAAUCCCUCGGCUCAACCGAGGAACGUCGAUCGAUACUGCUGUUCUUGAGGAUUGCAGAGGAGACUGGAAUUCCACGUGUAGCGGUGAAAUGCGUAGAAAUGUGGAGGAACACCAGUGGCGAAGGCGACUCUUUGGUCUGUAACUGACGCUGAGGCGCGAAAGCGUGGGGAGCAAACAGG
rnacentral:rRNA from 1 species